rnacentral:rRNA from 1 species
GUCCAGACUCCUACGGGAGGCAGCAGUGGGGGAUAUUGCACAAUGGGGGGAACCCUGAUGCAGCGACGCCGCGUGGGUGAAGGAGUGCUUCGGCAUGUAAAGCUCUCUCGGCAGGGAAGAAGCAAGACGGUACCUGACUAAGAAGCCCCGACUAACUACGUGCCAGCAGCCGCGGUAAUACGUAGGGGGCGAGCGUUAUCCGGAUUUACUGGGUGUAAAGGGGGCGCAGACGGCGAUGCAAGCCAGGAGUGAAAGCCCGGGGCCCAACCCCGGGACUGCUCUUGGAACUGCGCGGCUGGAGUGCAGGAGGGGCAGGCGGAAUUCCUGGUGUAGCGGUGAAAUGCAUAGAUAUCAGGAGGAACACCGGUGGCGAAGGCGGCCUGCUGGACUGCAACUGACGUUGAGGCCCGAAAGCGUGGGGAGCAAACAGGAUUAGAUACCCCCGUAC